rnacentral:lncRNA from 1 species
AUGGAUCAAAACUCCUCCUGCUAUAGUGAGAUAUCAAACCUGCUCAAGACCAUAAACAAGAUACAAGCAGUUUUGGGUUUGUUUUCUGUGUUUAACUUUUUAGGGCCAUACCCUAAGGCUAGGGGUCCAGUUGGAGCUACAGCUGCCGACCUAUGCCAUGGCCACACAACACAGGAUCCAAGCCACGUCUGCAACCUACACCACAGCUCACGGCAACGCUGGAUCCUUAACCCACUGAGGAAGGCCAGGGAUCGAACCCACAACCUCACGAUUCCUAGUCAGAUUCCUUUCUGCUGCACCACAAUGGGAACUCCAAUGCAAGCAGUUAUAGAUUCCAAAAGCAUUGCUCAGUUAUAAGAGAAGACGAUUAAAAAAGCCGUGCAGGAGAAUAGAAGAAGCUAAAUAUAUCUCAGCCUCUAACAUCAUGUCAAUGAAAAGUAAAAUUUACCAAUUGGAUAACACACAUGUCUUGCACUGACCACUGUCUAUACUUGGAGUUGGUAGUUUUCAUUGAUCGAAUGCUGCCAAGUCCGUGAUAUUUCUAGCUAUUACCUCCAAUUUCUGGAAGGAAGAAGCCAAACAGUGAAUGUCUUAACAGGAGUAAAUGAAAACAGGUGCCAGGAAAACAGAAAGAUGAAUGUUAAGGUCCUAACAUAUGGCGACUAGAACUACCUUGGGUACCACAUGGUCCUGUGGAACUGGCCCUCCCUGUAUUGGACAUGUGAGCAUCCUUGCAUUUCUUCUGCAUUUUGUAGCCCUGGAUAUUCCUAGGCAACAUCCUACUAUCAUUUCUUUAUUUCAAAGCGUAAACUUACUAGCCCGAGGAGCUAUUAGUAUUGUGUUCACUAUUAAAUUCCCUGAUAGAAGUUCCUUAGAAAGCUGGGAAGUCAUUUCAUUUCUGGAGUGGUUUUGUUUUCCCUUGGAGCACAUGACUGGAGAGGUCAAUUAGGAUUGCCUUUUGGUCCUGGACUCUAAGAACUUCCCUUCCUCUCUUUCUUCUCCCAUCUCUGUCCCCUCUUCCUCCCUCCUACCUUCAUCUAGGGUUUGCCCCAUUUAGGAGAAAGGGUGGAGUUAGCUCUGAUCCCUGUGCUGGAGGACUUGCAAAUGAGAGGGAAGGAGGGAGGGAGGGUAAUGAGCGAUCUAGAGAGGGGGAAAGAGGGAAGCAGCAUUUGAGCCGAGGCUUGAAGGCUUGGUAGGACUCUGGCAGGUGGAUGAGGACAGGGACGGAUGCUGGGGUGGACAGGAUGGUGGGAGGAAGUGGCAGAGGUGUGGGCGGGCGUGAGGGAGGGAGGAUGGCAUUGGCAAGAAUGGUGGAGAGAGUGGAAUGGGGUUAGGGUGUUCCAAGGAGUUGAGGAUUAUUGUGUUUGGAUUAUUGUGCAGGGAUUUGGCUCAUCCUCCUGAUAAAUGUUCAUGAAAAGCUCUCGACAGAACGCAGCAGGUGUGUCGGGUGGAAUAUUUGCUUUUUUGAAGGGCUGCUGAACUUCCUAUGGAGACGACGAACUACCCACGAGGUGUCUGUGUUACCCACGUAUUUCACCCAAACACAGUCUAAAGAACACCUGGAUAGAACAUUUUACUUCUUACGGAGCUGGAAGAUUAGUUUGAAUCUAUAAUGAGUCUGUUUAUAUCCCCGAAGUAACACUGCGUGGUCUAGUCUGCUUUUAGAAUAUAAAUAAUAACUGCUUCACCAAAGACACCAUCCCUGGGCCCACAGGGAGCCCUUGGGGUCUCAGAAGAGUUGCAAGAUUAGAAUCCCAAGUGAUAACCUGAGAUGGAAUCAGAAAGGUGUUGACAGGCCCUGGAGAGCUGUGUAAGCCCCUUCCCACAUGAUGGGAGUGAGGCGAUCCACUUUCAGAAUAAAAUGUGUGUGUGUGUUUGUGUGUGUGUGUGU